GUGCUUUUGUGGCUGCCUAGAUGUCCUAAGUGGAUCCCAAACAAACUUCCGUGGUCAUUUUGACUUUGAGGAAGAGCCAGAAGUUACAGGGCACCCGAUCUGUUGAAUAAGAUCCCUUUGGACAGAACCAUUUGGAAUUUGAGUGUGAUAGAAGAAGAAAAUAAGAGGAUUGACAAACUUGAAGUAUUCGUCAGCGGAAUCUGAACAAAGUAGGGAGUAAAAUAAAGAAAAAGGAGGACUUGGCUGUGGAGUGAAACAGAAAUACAAGACUGGAGCUCAGCUGCAUCGAAGAAUAUCUGUCCUGGAAAAAAAAUAAGACCAGACUGCUUGACCACGGCCUUCCAUUAUUAUGUCAGAAAUUGGAAGAAUGAUCAGAGAUUUGUUUGAGAUUUGUUCCAGAUUCAGGUGAGGCCUACUUUUGAUUACCAUAUCAUAUUCAGGAAUAUUUACAAAAAGUCUUUAUCCAAAUGAACCUCAUUUUCCUUUUUCUUUUUGGAAAAUAUGGUAGGACCAAGAGAACUUUUGU